GAUGAACGCUAGCGGGAGGCCUAACACAUGCAAGCCGAGCGGGAUUUGUUGGUUAGCUUGCUAACUAACAAUGAGAGCGGCGUACGGGUGCGUAGCACGUGUGCAACCUGCCUUUAUCUGGGGGGUAGCCUUUCGAAAGGAAGAUUAAUACCCCAUAACAUAUUGAUUGGCAUCAGUUAAUAUUGAAAGCUCCGGCGGAUAGAGAUGGGCACGCGUAAGAUUAGCUAGUUGGUGAGGUAACGGCUCACCAAGGCUGCGAUCUUUAGGGGGCCUGAGAGGGUGAUCCCCCACACUGGUACUGAGACACGGACCAGACUCCUACGGGAGGCAGCAGUGAGGAAUAUUGAACAAUGGGUGAGAGCCUGAUCCAGCCAUCCCGCGUGAAGGACUAAGGACCUAUGGUUUGUAAACUUCUUUUAUACAGGGAUAAACCUACUCUCGUGAGGGUAGCUGAAGGUACUGUAUGAAUAAGCACCGGCUAACUCCGUG
rnacentral:rRNA from 1 species